rnacentral:rRNA from 1 species
CCUACGGGUGGCAGCAGUGGGGGAUAUUGCACAAUGGGGGGAACCCUGAUGCAGCGACGCCGCGUGGGUGAAGAAGCGCCUCGGCGCGUAAAGCCCUGUCAGCAGGGGAGAAAAUGACGGUACCUGAAGAAGAAGCCCCGGCGAACUACGUGCCAGCAGCCGCGGGAAUACGGAGGGGACAAGCGGUAUCCGGAUUUACUGGGGGUAAAGGGGGAGCAGGCGGCGAUGCAAGCCAGGAGUGAAAGCCCGGGGCCCAACCCCGGGAUGGCUGUUGGAACUGGGGGGCUGGAGUGGAGGAGGGGCAGGCGGAAGUCGUGGUGUAGCGGUGAAAUGCGUAGAUAUCAGGAGGAACACCGGUGGCGAAGGCGGCCUGCUGGACUGCAACUGACGUUGAGGCCCGAAAGCGUGGGGAGCAAACAGGAUUAGAUACCCCUGUAGUC